rnacentral:rRNA from 2 species
CUAUACAUGCAAGUCGAGCGAACAGAGAAGGAGCUUGCUCCUUUGACGUUAGCGGCGGACGGGUGAGUAACACGUGGGCAACCUACCUUAUAGUUUGGGAUAACUCCGGGAAACCGGGGCUAAUACCGAAUAAUCUGUUUCACCUCAUGGUGAAAUAUUGAAAGACGGUUUCGGCUGUCGCUAUAGGAUGGGCCCGCGGCGCAUUAGCUAGUUGGUGAGGUAACGGCUCACCAAGGCGACGAUGCGUAGCCGACCUGAGAGGGUGAUCGGCCACACUGGGACUGAGACACGGCCCAGACUCCUACGGGAGGCAGCAGUAGGGAAUCUUCCACAAUGGGCGAAAGCCUGAUGGAGCAACGCCGCGUGAGUGAAGAAGGAUUUCGGUUCGUAAAACUCUGUUGUAAGGGAAGAACAAGUACAGUAGUAACUGGCUGUACCUUGACGGUACCUUAUUAGAAAGCCACGGCUAACUACGUGCCAGCAGCCGCGGUAAUACGUAGGUGGCAAGCGUUGUCCGGAAUUAUUGGGCGUAAAGCGCGCGCAGGUGGUUUCUUAAGUCUGAUGUGAAAGCCCACGGCUCAACCGUGGAGGGUCAUUGGAAACUGGGAGACUUGAGUGCAGAAGAGGAUAGUGGAAUUCCAAGUGUAGCGGUGAAAUGCGUAGAGAUUUGGAGGAACACCAGUGGCGAAGGCGACUAUCUGGUCUGUAACUGACACUGAGGCGCGAAAGCGUGGGGAGCAAAC